UCCUAUGUGGGGUGUGUCCACAGACACAUACGUCUGUACAUCCGUGCGACUGUACUAGACCGUGAAGACCUCCUGCCUCAAACUGAUUUGUGGAAAACUGCCUCACGGACUCAUCCUGAUGUGUGUCCACUGUCUAUGCUGGCUUGGAGAAAACACAGAUGUCUUUUCCAAUCUGCUAUUCUCAGCUGCAGCUCUACCUCUACCUAUCUUGGGAGACAAUUUAAGAAGACUCAGUUGCUGUUCUUUUGGCUGAACGAAUAAAGCUGGACAGAGCAGCCCAGCUAAGGAUGGUGAAUCUGUUGGACGGAGAACUGAUAAGGGCAUGUGGCUGACACUUACAGCAUUGUGUCCUCUGAGAUCUCAGAUACUACAGUGGAACAAUACUUUGAUUUAAUCAUAGGAAAAUGUAUCUAAAUCAGCGGUCCUCAAACUGGGGGCCUUGAGAUGGUGCCAGGAGGGCCCAAGUUUUAUGACAUUUUAUAAAAUACAUUAAUUUAUUAUGAAUUCUGUGUAAUUAAUCCUAAAAAAAUAAGGUCACUAACCUAUAGCACUG